rnacentral:lncRNA from 1 species
GUUUUUCCAGAGUGCCUCCCUGUUGUGUCAUCGGGCAGACUAGAAGAAAACCGGCUACUGAGAAGAUUAACUAAGAUACUGUGACCAAAACAUCUGCUAUCCAUAUAAAAACAGCUACAGGGAGCAAGAGUGCGAUGCCUGCACCGGAGUGCGGAGAGCCGGAUGCUCAAAAUUCAGGUAAGAACAUUUCAUCUGUGCCACCUUGUUUCCAGAGGUUUAACCAAGGAGAGAAGAACCACUCUGAAUAUGGGUGUCACCAUCCUAUCGGCUGCGGUCCUGGACUGAAUAAAGCCAAAAAAGGGGAAAGCCUAGGACCAAUGUUCACAUCUCUGCUUCCUGCCUGCAAAUGCUGCCGAUGUGACCAACUACGUCAUCUCCUGCUACCGCUACGUCAUCUCCUGCUACCGUGCCUUCCCACCUUAGACUGUGACCACCCUAGACCACCAGCCAAGAU